GAAUGGCUAAAGAAAACUCUACAACAUGUUGAACAUUAUAAGAAGUUAAAUUCGUCCAGCAGAUUCAAAACUAAAAAGCUUAAAAUUAAAGCAGGUAAACGGCUAAAGGCAACUCCAGCACUAGCAUUUGAUGCAGCAUAUACUCACUAUACUCACCUUUCAAAAAUUUUAGUUAUGCUAUUUAAGGCAUUGCAGCGGCACCUGGCAUGUAAUACAUACUAAUAGUAUAUCAAAAGCAACUCCAUUUAGCUCUAAGUGGUGAGGCCAGUUCACCGGCCACAUUUUUUACAGGUCAGGUGCUGGUGCAAUUGCAAAGCCUUUAAUUGUUAAAGGGAAAAUUACCGUUACAUCUGUAACGGAGCUACCAUUUUCCGUUAAUGAAAAUGCCAUUUUCCAUCUCUCUCCCUCUUCCCACAAUCUCUCCCCUACUUUGAUUUUCUCUCCCUCUCCCCUUCUUCUCCACCACCACUGCUAUUAGAAGCCUAACC
rnacentral:lncRNA from 1 species